AUUCCAGCUCCAGAAGCGUAUACUAACGUUGUUGCAGUUAAAAAGCUCGUAGUUGAAUUUCUGGUAAGAGCGGCCGGGUCUCUCGUUUAAUACGAUUGUUUUACCUAGUGCUGUCUUUGGCCAUCCUCGGGUUGUUUUUUACAAAUAGCCCGUCAUUUACUGUAAAAAAAUUAGAGUGUUUCAAGCAAAAUGUUAUUUUGGAAUAUAAUAGUAUGGAAUAAUAAGAUAGGACCUUUGUACUAUUUUGUUGGUUUGUAUACAAAAGUAAUGAUUAAUAGGGACAAUUGGGGGUAUUAGUAUUUAGUUGUCAGAGGUGAAAUUCUUGGAUUUACGAAAGACUAACUACUGCGAAGGCAUUUACCAAGGAUGUUUUCAUUA
rnacentral:rRNA from 1 species